rnacentral:rRNA from 1 species
UUGAACGCUGGCGGCAUGCCUUACACAUGCAAGUCGAACGGUAACAGGUCUUCGGCUGCUGACGAGUGGCGAACGGGUGAGUAAUACAUCGGAACGUGCCCGAUCGUGGGGGAUAACACAGCGAAAGCUGUGCUAAUACCGCAUACGACCUGAGGGUGAAAGCGGGGGAUCGCAAGACCUCGCGCGAUAGGAGCGGCCGAUAUCGGGUUAGCUUGUUGGUGAGGUAAAGGCUCACCAAGGCGACGAUCCGUAGCUGGUCUGAGAGGACGACCAGCCACACUGGAACUGAGACACGGCCCAGACUCCUACGGGAGGCAGCAGUGGGGAAUUUUGGACAAUGGGCGCAAGCCUGAUCCAGCCAUGCCGCGUGAGUGAAGAAGGCCUUCGGGUUGUAAAGCUCUUUCAGACGGAAAGAAAUCGGGCGCGUGAAUAGCGUGCCUGGAUGACGGUACUGUCAGAAGAAGCACCGGCUAACUACGU